UACGUAGGGUGCAAGCGUUGCCCGGAUUUAUUGGGCGUAAAGGGCGCGUAGGCGGCUCGGCACGUCCGUUGUGAAAUCGCCCGGCUCAACUGGGCGGGGUCAGCGGAUACGGUCGAGCUUGAGCAAGCUAGGGGGCAAUGGAAUUCCCGGUGUAGUGGUGGAAUGCGUAGAUAUCGGGAGGAACACCUGCGGCGAAGGCGGGUGCUGGGCUGACACUGACGCUGAUGCGCGAAAGCUAGGGGAGCGAACGGG
rnacentral:rRNA from 1 species